AUUGAACGCUGGCGGCAGGCCUAACACAUGCAAGUCGAACGGUAACAGGAAGACGCUUGCUUCUUUGCUGACGAGUGGCGGACGGGCGAGUAAUGUCUGCGAAACUGCCUGCUGGAGGGGGAUAACUACUGGAAACGUUAGCUAAUACCGCAUAACGUCGCAAGUCCAAAGAGGGGGACUUUCGGGCCUCUUGCCAUCGGAUGUGCCCAGAUGGGAUUAGCGAGUAGGUGGGGUAACGGCUCACCUAGGCGACGAACCCUAGCUGGUCUGAGAGGCUGACCAGCCACACUGGAACUGAGACACGGUCCAGACUCCUGCGGGAGGCAGCAGUGGGGAAUAUUGCGCAAGGGGCGCAAGCCUGAUGCAGCCAUGCCGCGUGUAUGAAGAAGGCCUUCGGGUUGUAAAGUACUUUCAGCGGGAAGGAAGGAAAUAAAGUUAAUACCUUAGCUCAUUGACGUUACCCGGAGAAGAAGCACCGGCUAACUCCGUG
rnacentral:rRNA from 1 species